AACGAACGCUGGCGGCAUGCCUAACACAUGCAAGUCGAACGAGACCUUCGGGUCUAGUGGCGCACGGGUGCGUAACGCGUGGGAACCUGCCCUUAGGUUCGGAAUAACUCCCCGAAAGGGGUGCUAAUACCGGAUAAUGUCUUCGGACCAAAGAUUUAUCGCCUUUGGAUGGGCCCGCGUUGGAUUAGCUAGUUGGUAGGGUAAAAGCCUAUCAAGGCGACGAUCCAUAGCUGGUCUGAGAGGAUGAUCAGCCACACUGGGACUGAGACACGGCCCAGACUCCUGCGGGAGGCGGCAGUGGGGAAUAUUGGACAGUGGGCGAAAGCCUGAUCCAGCAAUGCCGCGUGAGUGAUGAAGGCAUUAGGGUUGUAAAGCUAUUUUAGCCGGGAUGAUAAUGACAGUACCGGGAGAAUAAGCUCCGGCUAACUCCGUG
rnacentral:rRNA from 1 species